AGAACGAACGCUGGCGGCAUGCCUAAUACAUGCAAGUCGAACGAACACUCUGACUUCGGUUGGGGUGUUAGUGGCGCACGGGUGCGUAACGCGUGGGAAUCUGCCCUUGGGUUCGGAAUAACAGUUGGAAACGACUGCUAAUACCGGAUGAUAUCGAAAGAUCAAGGAUUUAUCGCCCAGGGAUGAGCCCGCGUAGGAUUAGACUAGUUGGUAGGGGUAAAGGCUCACCGAAGGCGACGAUCCUUAGCUGGUCUGAGAGAUGAAGUCAGCCAACGACGUGGGACUGAGACGACCGGCCAGACCUCCGUGCGGGAGCAGG
rnacentral:rRNA from 1 species